AAUAAAGUGCCUGAUAAAAGGAUUAUCUCGAUAAGAUAAAUAAUGUUUAAAAAAACCUUUAUUU
rnacentral:tRNA from 1 species